UUGGAGGGCAAGUCUGGUGCCAGCAGCCGCGGUAAUUCCAGCUCCAAUAGCGUAUAUUAAAGUUGUUGCAGUUAAAAAGCUCGUAGUUGAAUUUCGGGGUCAGUAGGCUGGUCGUGCCUCAGGUACGUACUGGUCUUACUGAUUCCUCCUUCCUGACGAACCGUAAUGCCAUUAAUUUGGUGUUGCGGGGAAUCUGGACUGUUACUUUGAAAAAAUUAGAGUGUUUAAAGCAGGCUAACGCUUGAAUACAUUAGCAUGGAAUAAUGAAAUAGGACGAUCGAUCCUAUUUUGUUGGUUUCUAGGAUUGACGUAAUGAUUAAUAGGGAUAGUUGGGGGCAUUAGUAUUCAAUUGUCAGAGGUGAAAUUCUUGGAUUUAUUGAAGACUAACUACUGCGAAAGCAUUUGCCAAGGAUGUUUUCAUUAAUCAAGAACGAAAGUUGGGGGAUCGAAGACGAUCAGAUACCGUCGUAGUCUUAACCAUAAACUAUGCCGACUAGGGAUCGGAUGAUGUUAAUUUUUUAAUGACUCAUUCGGCGCCUUACGGGAAA
rnacentral:rRNA from 1 species